rnacentral:rRNA from 1 species
UACGUAGGGUGCGAGCGUUGUCCGGAAUUAUUGGGCGUAAAGAGCUCGUAGGCGGUCUGUCGCGUCUGCUGUGAAAUCCCGAGGCUCAACCUCGGGCUUGCAGUGGGUACGGGCAGGCUAGAGUGCGGUAGGGGAGAAUGGAACUCCUGGUGUAGCGGUGGAAUGCGCAGAUAUCAGGAAGAACACCCGUGGCGAAGGCGGCUCUCUGGGACGGUACUGACGCUGAGACGCGAAAGCGUGGGGAGCGAACAGG